GCAUCAAUGAGGUAGUGGUAACCUGGGUCGUUGCCAUAUGAUUGUCAAAUACUUGCUAUCGACCCACCGGGGGUUCAAUUCCCCUUUGAUGCA